rnacentral:siRNA from 1 species
GAGAAGAUGAUGUGGAAGGUUAA